UACAGAGGUCCCGAGCGUUGUCCGGAAUCAUUGGGCGUAAAGCGCGCGUAGGCGGCCUCAUAAGUCCGUUGUGAAAGUCAAAGGCUCAACCUUUGAAAGCCGAUGGAUACUGUGAGGCUAGAGUCCGGAAGAGGCGAGUGGAAUUCCUGGUGUAGCGGUGGAAUGCGCAGAUAUCAGGAGGAACACCGGUGGCGAAGGCGGGUCUCUGGGCCGUAACUGACGCUGAGGAGCGAAAGCAUGGGGAGCGAACAGG
rnacentral:rRNA from 1 species